UGGGCGCGUAGCUCAGGUGGUUAGAGCGCACGCCUGAUAAGCGUGAGGUCGGUGGUUCGAGUCCACUCGUGCCCAUUAA
rnacentral:tRNA from 11 species